UACGUAGGGUGCGAGCGUUGUCCGGAAUUAUUGGGCGCAAAGAGCUUGUAGGCGGUUUGUCGCGUCUGCCGUGAAAAUUCGAGGCUCAACCUCGAACUUGCGGUGGGUACGGGCAGACUAGAGUGUGGUAGGGGAGACUGGAAUUCCUGGUGUAGCGGUGAAAUGCGCAGAUAUCAGGAGGAACACCGAUGGCGAAGGCAGCACUCUGGGACGGUACUGACGCUGAGACGCGAAAGCGUGGGGAGCAAACAGG
rnacentral:rRNA from 1 species